rnacentral:rRNA from 1 species
GACGAACGCUGGCGGCGUGCUUAACACAUGCAAGUCGAGCGGGGAACUUCGGUUCCCAGCGGCGGACGGGUGAGUAACACGUGGGUAACCUGCCUUACAGUGGGGAAUAGCCUUCCGAAAGGAAGAUUAAUACCGCAUAAUACUCAGAGAUCACAUGAUCUUUGAGCCAAAGGAUUUAUUCGCUGUAAGAUGGACCCGCGGCGCAUUAGCUUGUUGGUGAGGUAACGGCUCACCAAGGCUUCGAUGCGUAGCCGACCUGAGAGGGUGAUCGGCCACAUUGGAACUGAGACACGGUCCAGACUCCUACGGGAGGCAGCAGUGGGGAAUAUUGCACAAUGGAGGAAACUCUGAUGCAGCAACGCCGCGUGAGUGAUGAAGGUCUUCGGAUCGUAAAACUCUGUCUUAUGGGACGAUAAUGACGGUACCAUAGGAGGAAGCCACGGCUAACUCUGUGCCAGCCGCCGCAGUAA